GGGCGUUUAGCUCAGCUGGUUCAGAGCAUCUGCCUUACAAGCAGAGGGUCGGCGGUUCGAAUCCGUCCACCCCCC
rnacentral:tRNA from 1 species